rnacentral:rRNA from 1 species
UUUAAAUAGCUGCAGUAUUUUAACUGUACAAAGGUAGCGUAGUAAUUAGUCUUUUAAUUGAGGUCUUGAAUGAAAGGUUUGACAAGAGGAAAACUUUAUUAAAUUAAUAAUGUAAAUUUUAUUUUUUAGUUAAAAAGCUAAAAUUUUUAAAUGGGACGAUAAGACCCUAUAGAUCUUUAAUUUUUUGUUAUUUAAAUCAAUUAAUGAUUAUUUGAGGUUUAUUUAUAAAAAUUUUUUGUUGGGGUGACGGUUAAAAUAUUAAAACUUUAAUGUUUAUAUACAUUUAAUUAAUGAAUUUUAUGAACCCAACUUUUGGGUUGUUAAAAUAAGAUACCUUAGGGAUAACAGCGUAAUAAAUUUGUAUAGUUCUUAUAGAUAAAUUUGUUUACGACCUCGAUGUUGAAUUAAUUUUAAGUUUUGGGGCAGAAAUCAAAAUUUUAGGUCUGUUCGACCUUUAAAAAAUUACA